rnacentral:rRNA from 1 species
UACGGAGGGUGCAAGCGUUAGUCGGAAUUAUUGGGCGUAAAGGGUGCGUAGGCGGUUUGAUAAGUCUGAUGUGAAAUCCCGCAGCUUAACUGCGGAACUGCAUUGGAAACUAUUUGACUAGAGGAAUGGAGGGGAGACUGGAAUACUUGGUGUAGCAGUGAAAUGCGUAGAUAUCGAGUGGAACACCAGUGGCGAAGGCGAGUCUCUGGACAUUUCCUGACGCUGAGGCACGAAAGCCAGGGGAGCAAACGGG